GCUGCUAAGAAGAGACCUGCUUGGGCCCAGGAGCUCAUGGAACUACAUUAAACAUCUUUGGUUCCACCCACCAUGUAAACUGCAGUGCAGGGGAGCAGAUGGUUUCUACAUGUGGAGGUGUGACGGUGUGCGGGGGCUUUGCUGGAGACACUGUUGGUGAUUUAAGGCCUACUUAAGGAGCGUCAUGCCACCUGGUUUGAGCUUAGCGGACCAGGACAAAGACCCCAACACACCUCCAGGCUCUGUGAGGGCUACCAAGAAGGAGUGGCCUCCACCAUCACCCCCCUAAACCCACUUGAGGGGGUCUGGGAGGAGUUGAACUGCAGAGUGAAGGCAAAGCAGCCAACAAGUGGAGCUGCUUGAAGACUCCUGGAGAACCUUCCAGGUGACUCCCUCGUGGAGCUGCUUGAAGACUCCUGGAGAACCUUCCAGGUGACUCCCUCGUGGAGCUGCUUGAAGACUCCUGGAGAACCUUCCAGGUGACUCCCCCGUGGAGCUGCUUGAAGACUCCUGGAGAACCUUCCACCGAGAAGGUGUCGACGUUUGACCGUGUUGCUCUUCUAUUUCUACACGUCAUGGAGCUACUUGUCUUAAUGUGUUGACAUUCUAACUUUAUAACAAUGAGCCGCCGAACUGCAUGACUGCUGCUACAUGAAAACACGGGAAAGAUACAAGAGGAAUCAUUUAUUACCAAAAUACGUCAGACGUACAAGGA
ensembl:lncRNA